rnacentral:rRNA from 1 species
GAUGAACGCUGGCGGCAUGCCUAACACAUGCAAGUCGAACGGGAUCCUAGCUUGCUAGGUGAGAGUGGCGGACGGGUGAGUAACACGUGGGAAUCUGCCUUUUGGUUCGGGAUAACCGCGGGAAACUGCGGCUAAUACCGAAUGCCCUCGAGAGAGGAAAGAUUUAUCGCCAGAAGAGGAGCCCGCGUCCGAUUAGGUAGUUGGUGGGGUAAAGGCCUACCAAGCCGACGAUCGGUAGCUGGUCUGAGAGGAUGAUCAGCCACACUGGGACUGAGAUACGGCCCAGACUCCUACGGGAGGCAGCAGUGGGGAAUAUUGGACAAUGGGGGCAACCCUGAUCCAGCAAUGCCGCGUGAGUGAUGAAGGCCUUAGGGGUUGUAAAGGCUCUUUUUAGCCAGGGAAGAUGAUGACUGUACCUGGAGAAUAAGCCCCGGCUAACUACGUGCCAGCAGCCGCGGUAAU